CUUGUAGAAUGACAUCCAGUAACAGGAAACCAUGGCUCCAUUCAAGACAACUGCAAAACUCAGUGACAAAAGCAGCCCAUUCAUAAAGCUCUAAGCACACAUUACUGUUUUCUGUAACUUCAAUUAACGAAGUGUUCUUAGGAGCCAGGCAGAGGAAAAUCUCAACUCCAGCCUUCAUCUGCUCAGAAGUCUCUCUAUUUUGCUGAAUCUCCAUGCAGGUAUAAACUGAUUUUUUUCUAGUAUCACGUGGCAGAAACAGAGCUUAUUACUUCCUGGGGGCAGGCUGUCAUACUUUUCCUCACCAGUUUCAAAACCAUGGUGGAAGCUGAUCUUUAUUUACUUGUUUUUCGGUGGUGCUGUUUUGGGGUUUUUUCCAUGCGUUAGGAUUUGGAAAUAAUGAUUUGUUUCUUUGCUCCCCCUCGUGCAUCCCCUAAAGUGGAUUUCACCUUACACGUGUUUGGUAAGGACUGACUCGUUAAAAUUUGGCCAAAAUACUCUGGGCCUGAGCUACCGAAAUGCUUUAAGUCGGUUAUUUUCUGGAGUCUUAAGUGUUUUUGCUAAAUUCCGCAAGUCACUGGGGUUAGGAGAUAAAUCCAGCCCAGAUCGAAGGCAGUGCUUUUGCAGACUUUAUGCCACUUGCUGACGGAACUCACCGACACUAGAACAGAGUCUAAACAGCGAAGUUGUUCUCCCCGGGGGCAAUGGAAACUCAGUUAAGUCGUUUAACUGCAAACAGUUAAAAAGUUACAGGAACGACCGGAACACCGAAGGCCAUGUGGCUCCAGACCCCGCGGUGCCAGCGGCGGUGUGGCGGGGGAGGCUCCGGGGGGCAGGACAGGGACAGCCCAGGGAACCCCUGCCCGGCUCUGGCCAGCCGCCCCCGCCACAGGGUGCUGGAAACCCUCGGCGGCUUUUGUUUGGUUUUCUUUUUCUCCGAUUCCUCCCGUGAACUUGCUCCCGGGACGAACGACUUGGCAUAAGAGGAGCUGCGGGCGGGCAGCCCCCCACCCCCGCGCUGCAGCGCUGCCGGCUGCCGGUCCCGGGGAGGCGCCGCGCCGCGCCGGGCGGCUCCCUUGGCUCGGCGCCGCGGUGGGGUCACGCCUGCCCGGUGCGCGGCGCUGGGCUUUUCCAGCCGCCCGCCCGCCGCACCGCAGCCCCAUGUCUGCGCUCCCCGCCGGUGCCGACAUCAAGAGGGCUCUGGAUAACAGCCCCGAGACCAACAUCGAAGAUGAGCUGCCGGACGGGCCGCCGCAGCCGCGGCCCAAGAACUACCUGCUCCUCAGCAUCCUCGCCUGCUUCUGUCCCGCCUAUCCCGUCAAUAUCGUCGCCUUCGUCUUCGCCGUUAUGGCUUUAAACAGUUAUAAUCAAGGAGAUAUAGAAGGGUCAAAAAGACUGGGUCGCAAUGCACUCUGGGUUGCUGUUGCAUCAAUUAUCAUUGGCCUUGUCAUCAUUGGAAUCUAUUGCGUAGUUCAUUUCACAACGGAAGCAGAGAUGCUGACGACCUCAUGAAACUUUGUCAAAAUAAGAACUCAUUUCCUGGCACUGAAAGAUCCUAACUUGCAUUGAUUCAGCAUGCCAUCUGAAGACCAGGACUGCAUUUGGAGGAUAUCAUCAUGUAAAUCUCAGGAGGGGAAAAAAGAAGAAGAGAAGGAAACCCUUCAUUCCAGACUGUUAGAUUUGACCCUACAAGUCUGCAGAGGCAUGUUGCUUGCUGGUGGAUGAACUGAUAGUCCAGUUAGUUACUCAGCAUGGCGUGACCAGGUUUUCAAAAUUAUUUAUUUAUAAGAAAUCUCAGUAUAAAGCAGCAUUUUCUCUUUUACCCUAAUGUGAUCUUGCCCUAAGAACUCAAUUUUCUUUCUCAUUUACAUGGAAUGUAUGCUGGAUCUGUGAUGCUCCCCUGGCUGACCCUAGCCAGACAAAGCUAAUGUAUCUAGACUGUAUAGUACACAAUGUAAGACCUGAUGCACCGCCUGCUGAAGCUAGUAGAAGAAGAACUGUUGCCUCCAGUGGGUUUUGGAUCAGGCCAUUAAGGAUUUUUUUUAUCACUUUAAAAUAGCCUCAACAUAACACAAUCAUAACCAUGGGGUUUUUUUUUAUUUUAUCCUGCUAUGUGAUUUUAUAAUGCUGUGGGCAUACUCUGACUCAGCGGCUGCUUUCUUCUGUCAUCCUCGGCUUUUAGGUCUUUACCUUGAUUUUUAACCACCUGGGACCGAUUUCAAUCACUUGAUUAUUAAGAGACACUCUUCCAUACCAUCCAUAUUUUUCUUAAUGAUUUUUUUUGUUUUGUUGUCUUUUGUUGUUGAACUCCCUUGAUUUAGCUCCAGUCCUGCAUUCAAGCUGCACUGGUCAUAUGUUCCUCUUUAAACUUCACGUAUGUAAAAAGUUCCUAUUUUUUUUAUCUGACAAAGAUCUUUUUAAAUAGAUGUUCUUCUUCAUCCUUUUGUUACUGUUCCUCCAGCAAGUCGCAUAGUUUCAUUGUGUUCUGCUUUGUUCAUGUCUUUUUUUGUUUAGUCCAUCCUCUCAUCUUGCUAUGAAUAGUCUAUAUAUCAAUGCAGUUAGAUGGACAGACUUUUUUACCCUUACAUAGUUACCUACACUCUUGCUGAUCCUAAGAGAUUGCUCAGUGAACAGCUUUAGGUUGCAGAAUUGAUGGCUUAUAAAUUACUGCAGUUUCUUGAUACUUCAUGAAAAUUUAGUAUGGGACAGCAGCUUUUUUAUUAGCUGAAAACUUUCAAAUAUAUUUAUUUUGUUGCACAAAUAUUCCAUGUUAAAAGAAGAAAGCUCUGGUGAGCAUUAAGACAGAUGGCUACAUCUUCAGCAGUUGUUGCUCCAUUUGCUUUAAUUGUUAUUACAUCUUCAAGCAAGCUAUGCCAACUUAAACUUAGUCUCCUUGCACCAACAUAAAUCUGGACCGACACUACUCAGAAAUGCAUGGGAGUUUUGCAGGUGCAAGUGACAAAAGAAUCAUGCCUGGCAGGAGUACAACUACCUAUUAAUAAUAAUAAUGAUAAUCUUCCAGAAACCCUUACCUGUUAAAGCAUAUGCCUGGAAGCAGCAUGUAUUUUCUGUGCCUUGAUAUUAUACUUUUAGUGUGCUUUCUUGCUUUUUGUUCUGCCAAAUUCUAUAUUUCGUUGAAGUCAGUGAUGCAUUGCCUAUCCUUAAUUACUCCAGUAUAAAACUUCACCAAUACUGGUGAAGUCAGUUGAUUUCUUCAGCAUUUACACUGAUAGGAUUUCUUCACAUGGGAAUCUUGCUACUGAUUUUGAUGAUCUCAAGAACUGGCUUUCUCUGAACUCUUAUUUGGUUUUUGAAUACUAUUUCAAUGGCCUGAUAUGUCUUGUGGGACUUCUAGUAGCUUGCCUUAUCAGAUAUGAUAGAACUGUCAUUGAGAAGUGGAAUAAAAUUACCUUUAAUUCAUGUUCA